CGGGUAGCUAUGUACGGUCGGGAUAACCGCUGAAAGCAUCUAAGCGGGAAGCCCACCCUAAGAUGAGAUCUCCCGGGGCAUAAGCCCCCUGAAGGGCCGUGGAAGACGACCACGUUGAUAGGCUCCAUGUGGAAGCGCAGUAAUGCGUGCAGCUAAGGAGUACUAAUCGCCCGUGUGGCUUGACCAU
rnacentral:rRNA from 1 species